AUUGAACGCUGGCGGCAGGCCUAACACAUGCAAGUCGAGCGGAGCGGCGGACGGGUGAGUAAUGCCUAGGAAUCUGCCUGGUAGUGGGGGAUAACGUCCGGAAACGGGCGCUAAUACCGCAUACUAUCAGAUGAGCCUAGGUCGGAUUAGCUAGUUGGUGGGGUAAAGGCCGACCAAGGCGACGAGCAGUAAAUGGUCUGAGAGGAUGAUCAGGCAACCUGGAACUGAGACACGUUCCAGAUCCCUACGGGGGGCAGUAGUGGGGAAUAUUGGACAAUGGGGGAAAGCCGGAGCCAGCCAUGCCGGGUGGGUGAAGAAGGUCUUCGGAUUGUAAAGCCCUUUAAGUUGGGAGGCGUUACCAACAGAAUAAGCACCGGCUAACUUCGUGCCAGCAGCCGGGUAAUAC
rnacentral:rRNA from 1 species